rnacentral:hammerhead_ribozyme from 1 species
ACCCAGAUGACGAGUCCCAAACAGGACGAAAUAUUAAUGCUGGAU